UCGUCCUGUCAGGCAAGAUAAAACUCUCCUUUAAGUCGGUUGAUUCUUUAAGAGCCCUUGUCAGCCAAACCUUUGUUAUUGCUUUCGUUGCACAUAUUGUGAUAAAAUCUCGAAAUAACCAUGUAAACACACAAAGUUUAUUACUUUAUUCAUCAAAUUCAAUCGAAAAUAAGCAUUGGCUUCCUCAAAUCAGCCGAUAAAAAUGCUUUUUCUCACUUGCUACUUUGCUAUGAUGACAAAAUGGCGGCUGACAGAGUCUGUUUAAGGUUUUGAUCCUGAUUUCGGUGACAGUGCUGAAUAACGUAUGCGCAUGCGCGGAAUCUGAUGCAAACAAACAACUUUUCGCUGCACACGCGGUUCUAGAAGUGCGACAAACAGUACCGGUUUACAGCGUGCCAAUUCUGCAUUAUUUUUGCUAAACUAGACUUUUUUGUGCGACCUGCAUCUUGAGUUUUGACUUUUUAACUUAUUGUCUACAAAUAAUAAAAUAUUAUUCAACUGGCGGGAGAUUUCUGGACCAGGGAAACGACCUCCUUGCUUUCGAUGGAACGAAAGUUUGUCGCUGUACUUUUCAUAGAUGACCAUGUUCUGAAAUGGCAACAAACGAGAACAGGUUUUGACAUCGCACCGAAGGUUAGGAUAGGUUCAAGUCCAGAGGUCUGUCUUUCAAGAUUAUACCCUAGAGGAAAACACUUGGUGUCAACAGUGCAGUUGAAGGUAGGGAGAAAGUAUUGCUGGUAUCCCCUGGCAUUUCCAUUCUGGCAGUAUUCUCUAGGAAGCUGAAAGGAAAUAGUAAUAUAGUUAGCCUUGAAUGCUUUGCACUGUGACGUUUAACCAACUGCAAUGCUAAUAAAACAAGACAACAACAUCGUAUGAAGCCUUAGCAUAAGUUGGAUAUUAUAUGUUUGACGGUAUACUCACAGCAGUGACUUUAGUGAUGUUUUUAGUGACUUCACUGAAUGUCUUGAGGAGUAACUCUUCUGUUUUUCCUGCCAUCAGCCAGUAGUCCUGUUUGCUUGACCCUCUGUGGUAUAAGCCUCCAAAUGCUCCGUAAAAGUUUGCCAUAAAUCCCCUGGUGGCAAUGGUCUUGGCAACCUUCUCAAUACUCUUGGCAUCAAAGUGACUGUAUGUCUUGGCCCUUAGAAUGGAAUGCCAAAUCUCAACUUUUUUUUCAACCAGGAGGUAAAGCCAGGAUUCUUUCAGAUGCCAAUAUGCAGGGAGGUUGUUUUUCUGGUAGUCACAAUCACGUAGAUACAAAAGGGAGACAAAUUCAGGUGAUUUACAUAGACUAAACUUUUGAAGAAGUUUGUCUCUGAUCAUUGCCCAGCCCAUAAGUGCAGCAGUGACAAGAAUGGAGGACUGGUAGACUUGGCUUCUUAGGAAGAUCGCCUUCAAACAGAUGAGAAUAAAGCUUUGCAAAGAAGUGAUUGAAGAUAAAAGUCACAUCUUGGACAGCCUUUAGGUGGACAUGGAACUGGCCUUGCUCCGGAAUGAAGUUCAGGUAGUGGACGUCACUAUGACGUGCGUUUGCAAUCAGUUUCUUUGGGUAAUACCAUCCUGGCCAAUCAGCAGGGAAUGGGAUAAGAUACUUGGAGAGGUAAGAUCUCAGAGAUGGGUAUUUUUGGAGUACAUAGUCAAGGGAUUCCUUGUAUUUUUUCAUACUUUUGAGAUCUUGCUCUCGCUCCUCCAGUAAUUCACAUGUCUUAAGGCUUUCCAAGUCUGUGUUGUUAGGUUGGCUGUAUACCCUGAGUAUGAAUAAAUGAAAAUACUCUUUAUAAUUAAAAUUAAGACCACUUUGUUAGGCUAAGUACAGUACAGUUGCUUUUUUUAAUAUAAAUGUUUCUUUACAAUAUCUUUUAUCCCAAAAAGUGAACAUUUGAAUAUUCUGUAGGCUACCCAUGCGUUGCAAAAUUACCUAAAAUCCUGUGCAAAACUCUGAAUGGUUCCUGGGUUGAAAUCUCUCAUUGUUGCUGGUAGCUGGUCGAUGAAGUGAUUUCUAAUUUGUUGUAGGCCAUGCAGAAUGUACACAUUAACAGUGUUGUUGUCGGCACCUCCAAGGCACAGAGUUUGUACACCUUUGAUGUUCACAAAAACUGGCCGAUGUGGGCUCACACCAUUUGCAUUUGGGGCUGCUAUAUUCCUGUGAACAUCUAUCAUUGAAGUUGCCAUGUGUGCCACCUUGGUCUUCCUAAGUGCUGUUCUAUUUGAAGAGACUCUUGCAUCCUCACGAGUGAUGGCGGACAGAACCUGGUCAAACAGUCCAGGUGCAUGCUUAUUAGCAAAGCUUUUCAUAGCCACAGGAUCAUAGAGGGGGUCAUCGCAGCUGCUAUUAUAGUAUCUAGACAUAGCUUGCUGACACUUAGCGACUGAUUCUUGGAAAGAAAGGCCUAUAGACACAAUUGUAUAUGUGAAGAAUUAGUUAGUGUGUAAAAAGCUAUUAUUUUAAGCAUUAUUUUGAUUACUUAUAAUGAAAUGUUUGUUUGUUUUCUGUGUGUAUCACUUACAUACCUGAUGAAGAAAUAUCUUUUAUUUCUUGAGAUAAACCUGGUAGGAUGCUACUCUGGUUCAAACCCUAAAAUAUUGUUUUAGAAACAUUUCACUUGGUAUGAAUCUCAAUGUGAUAAACCCAGGACACCCUUCUUGCUAAAAUUUUAGGUUUGUGCCCCCUACAAAAAUCGUGCAUCUAAGGUCUUGCUGAUAAAAUUAUUAUUGAGUAGGGCCUUUAUUACCCUGUGAAACAAAUUUGAACAAUGCUUAUUUUUAAUAUUGAAUUUCUUUGUUCAAUUUUGAUCACCUUACUUCCGUUUCAUGGGUUCUGUAAACCACACAAAAUAAUCUUACCUGGUUGCCAUCAAUACUUGUUAGGGGUAGUCUGUUCUCAGUGUGUUUGCUUUUUGGUCUCUGUAAAGUAUAAAAAAAAAAUAA